GGGAAUGUGGCUUAGUGGUAGAGUGUUUGCAUUACAUGCAUGAAGCUCUGGGUUCAAUUCCUAGUACCA
rnacentral:tRNA from 1 species